rnacentral:rRNA from 1 species
GACGGACGCUGGCGGCGUGCUUAACACAUGCGAGUCGAACGGAAAGGCCUCUUUCGGGGGGUACUCGAGUGGCGAACGGGUGAGUAACACGUGAGUAACCUGCCCUUGACUUUGGGAUAACUUCAGGAAACUGGGGCUAAUACCGGAUAGGAGCUCCUGCUGCAUGGUGGGGGUUGGAAAGUUUCGGCGGUUGGGGAUGGACUCGCGGCUUAUCAGCUUGUUGGUGGGGUAGUGGCUUACCAAGGCUUUGACGGGUAGCCGGCCUGAGAGGGUGACCGGCCACAUUGGGACUGAGAUACGGCCCAGACUCCUACGGGAGGCAGCAGUGGGGAAUAUUGCACAAUGGGUGGAAGCCUGAUGCAGCAACGCCGUGUGCGGGAUGACGGCCUUCGGGUUGGAAACCGCUUUCGCUCAUGACGAAGCUUUGUGUGACGGUAGUGGGUAAAGAAGCACCGGCUAACUACGUG